rnacentral:rRNA from 1 species
UGGGGAAUAUUGCACAAUGGGCUCAAGCCUGAUGCAGCCAUGCCGCGUGUGUGAAGAAGGCCUUCGGGUUGUAAAGCACUUUCAGCGAGGAGGAAGGGUGGUGUGUUAAUAGCACAUCACAUUGACGUUACUCGCAGAAGAAGCACCGGCUAACUCCGUGCCAGCAGCCGCGGUAAUACGGAGGGUGCAAGCGUUAAUCGGAAUUACUGGGCGUAAAGCGCACGCAGGCGGUUUGUUAAGUCAGAUGUGAAAUCCCCGCGCUUAACGUGGGAACUGCAUUUGAAACUGGCAAGCUAGAGUCUUGUAGAGGGGGGUAGAAUUCCAGGUGUAGCGGUGAAAUGCGUAGAGAUCUGGAGGAAUACCGGUGGCGAAGGCGGCCCCCUGGACAAAGACUGACGCUCAGGUGCGAAAGCGUGGGGAGCAAACA